rnacentral:rRNA from 1 species
AGUCGAACGGUAAGGCCCCUUCGGGGGUACACGAGUGGCGAACGGGUGAGUAACACGUGGGUGAUCUGCCCUGCACUCUGGGAUAAGCCUGGGAAACUGGGUCUAAUACCGGAUAUGAGCUCCUGUCGCAUGGCGGGGGUUGGAAAGGUUUACUGGUGCAGGAUGGGCCCGCGGCCUAUCAGCUUGUUGGUGGGGUAAUGGCCUACCAAGGCGACGACGGGUAGCCGGCCUGAGAGGGCGACCGGCCACACUGGGACUGAGACACGGCCCAGACUCCUACGGGAGGCAGCAGUGGGGAAUAUUGCACAAUGGGCGAAAGCCUGAUGCAGCGACGCCGCGUGAGGGAUGACGGCCUUCGGGUUGUAAACCUCUUUCAGCAGGGACGAAGCGAGAGUGACGGUACCUGCAGAAGAAGCACCGGCCAACUACGUGCCAGCAGCCGCGGUAAUACGUAGGGUGCGAGCGUUGUCCGGAAUUACUGGGCGUAAAGAGCUCGUAGGCGGUUUGUCGCGUCGUCCGUGAAAACUUGGGGCUCAACCCCAAGCUUGCGGGCGAUACGGGCAGACUUGAGUACUGCAGGGGAGACUGGAAUUCCUGGUGUAGCGGUGAAAUGCGCAGAUAUCAGGAGGAACACCGGUGGCGAAGGCGGGUCUCUGGGCAGUAACU